GACGAACGCUGGCGGCGUGCCUAAUACAUGCAAGUCGAACGCAGUGGGGACGGGUGAGUAACACGUGGGUAACCUCCCAUCAGAGGGGAUAACACUUGGAAACAGGUGCUAAACCGAUACUGAUGGAUGGACCCGCGGUGCAUUAGCUAGUUGGUGAGGUAACGGCUCACCAGGGCCACGAUGCAUAGCCGACGUGAGAGGGUGAACAGCCAAACUUGGACGUGGACGCGGACCAGACUCCUACGGCAGGCAGCAGUAGGGAAUCUUCGGCAAUUGGCGAUAGUCGGACCGAGCAACGCCGCGUAAGUGAGGAAGGUUGUCGAAGCGUAAAACUCUGUGGUUAGAGAAUCGGUAUCUAACCGGAACGCCGCGGCUGACUACGAGCCAGCCGCCGCGGUAAUUC
rnacentral:rRNA from 1 species